ensembl:lncRNA
CCUGAACUCGAAUUGCCUCAGUAGUAAUAAAACGACUCCAGACGAGAUAAUAAUGACAACUUCACUGAUUUUCGCGCUGCUGUUUGUCACGGUGUCGUGUCUACCUGUCCCAGUCUUGCCGGAUGACACACACCAGACCUCUAACUUUUGGCCAGAGCUGGGAGACUACCCUGAAUCCAUCACUGGCAAUGUGGCAAAUAGCAGGAGUUUUCUAGUGAACAAAGAAGCUCUUGCAGCUAUCAUUGCAGGUGGUGUGGUGGGACUAGCAUUGGCUGCUAGCUUGCUAACACUGCUCAUCUAUAGCAUGAAGAAGAAAGACUGGGGAGACACUUCAAAGGGAGGAUAUUUGAAAGGCAAUACCAAGGAGUUUAUGGUGUAACUUUCCUAUGAAUGAAUGAAUGACUGCAAAUCGCUUUGGAUAUAAGUGUUGGCCAGAUGGGACGUGCUGUUAGUUUAAAACCAGGCGGAUUGAACCCUGAAUGUUGAUUGCAAGCUGUUGUAUACAAGACUAUAUCACGGGUGAUAAUAAAACAUGUAUUUUUACUGUUCAAAUGGCAAUAUGUUGUUCCACACUUUCCUGUCAAAUAAAGCAUAAAAUUGCCUGAAAAAUAUGUAUUUAAAAAAUACAUAUAUACCGUCACACUUUAUUUGCAUAGUCACAAUUACAAUCUGUUGAUGCUCUAGAGAUAUUUAUACUAUCCACAACAUAUAUGAAAAACUAAAUAAAUGCUUGUUAGGCUAGGGUUAGAUCAAGAAAGAGAGUUAGGGAAAGAAUUAAGGUUAUUGUAAGAAGAUAGUUAAUUGAAAUGUUAUAGAUGAUGUAGGUCAGUGGUUCCCAACCAGGGGUACUAGGACCCCUGGGGGUACUUGGCCUUUCCACAGGGGGUACUUGAAAACACUCAAGUACCCCACUAGUGAAAUGAACAUGAGGGGGUACUUCAGGGGUACUCCAAGCAGUGCAAAUUAUUUUUGGGGGUACAGUAACUGAAAAAGGUUGGGAGCCACUGAUGUAGAUUGUCUGAAAAUCAUCUGUAGAUUGACUUUACAAAUAAACUGUUACCAUAUGUACUGUAUAUGUGAUUACAAGUUUUCUGAACUUUAUUAGUGUUUCAGCAGUUCACUGGUGAAAUACUAUUGUUUUUGUAACAGUUAAUUAUUAUUAUUUUAAAUUGGAUUUCUGCAUGAAUCUUCCACAUAUAUGUUAUAAUCUUUAAAAUGGGUGUACUUUAUCGACAUUUUAAGUAUUGAUGUUAUGAAUCAACUGUGUUGAAAGUAUCACACCUUGAGAAUAAAUUGUAUCUUG